rnacentral:tRNA from 1 species
GCGCCCGUAGCUUAAAUGGAUAGAGCAUCUGCCUACGGAGCAGAGGGUUGCAGGUUCAAGUCCUGCCGGGCGCG